UACGAAGGGGGCUAGCGUUGUUCGGAUUUACUGGGCGUAAAGCGCACGUAGGCGGAUCGUUAAGUCGGGGGUGAAAUCCUGGAGCUCAACUCCAGAACUGCCUUCGAUACUGGCGAUCUUGAGUCCGGAAGAGGUGAGUGGAACUCCUAGUGUAGAGGUGGAAUUCGUAGAUAUUAGGAAGAACACCAGUGGCGAAGGCGGCUCACUGGUCCGGUACUGACGCUGAGGCGCGAAAGCGUGGGUAGCAAACAGG
rnacentral:rRNA from 1 species